rnacentral:rRNA from 1 species
UACGGAGGGGGCUAGCGUUGUUCGGAAUUACUGGGCGUAAAGCGCGCGUAGGCGGACCUGCAAGUCGGGUGUGAAAUCUUGGAGCUCAACUCCAGAACUGCCUUUGAUACUGAAGAUCUUGAGUUCGGGAGAGGUGAGUGGAACUGCGAGUGUAGAGGUGAAAUUCGUAGAUAUCGUAAGGAAGACCAGUGGCGAAGGCGGGUCUCUGGACAGUUCCUGACGCUGAGACGCGAAAGCGUGGGGAGCGAACAGG